CAUUAGAUGGCUGAAAGUAAGUAAUGGUCUCUUAAACCAUUUUAUAAUAGUAUAACAACUAUUUCUAAUGA
rnacentral:tRNA from 1 species